rnacentral:rRNA from 1 species
AUUGAACGCUGUCGGCAGGCCUAACACAUGCAAGUCGAGCGGAUCGCCAGAGGGGUGCGGAAUACUUAGGAAUCUGAAUGGUAGUGGGGGAUAACGUUAGGAAACGGGAGCGAAUACCACAUACUCUCAGAUGAGCCUAGGUCGGAUUAGCUUGGGGGUGGGGUAAAGGCCUAGCAAGGCGACGAUCCGUAACUGGUCUGAGAGGAUGAUCAGUCACACUGGAACUGAGACACGGUCCAGACUCCUACGGGAGGCAGCAGUGGGGAAUAUUGGACAAUGGGCGAAAGCCUGAUCCAGCCAUGCCGCGUGUGUGAAGAAGGUCUUCGGAUUGUAAAGCACUUUAAGUUGGGAGGCGUUACCAACAGAAGAAGCACCGGCUAACUUCGUGCCAGCAGCCGCGGUAAUAC